UAUAAACAUCUCCUGGGAGUUGGAAGGAUCAUUGUAUAAGUAGGAUUGCUGGGACAAAAUGAAUGUAUGUUGAGAACACGGAAAAACUUGUGACAAAACCACAAAGCAAGAUCCAGGAGCUAUGUGUUACAGCACAGUUUGGGAAGUCAACAAAUUAAUGUGAAUGCAGGACCAUUAGUUGAGAAUUAGAUUGGGUUUCAACGCAGGCUGCGGUGACUCAUCAGGCCCAGGCAGCUGAAGAGCACUGUAGGGACAGAAGAAUCUAAGGCUGGACAAUAGGUCUUGGAACCAAGUUGAUGAUGAAUACAUGAAUGAAAGAGGCCAGAGGAGACAAGUCCAGAGUGCAGGUUUCUGAUGUUGCCUGAAGAAAGUCCUUGCUGGGAAAUGUUUCAAUGGACAUUGAUUGUGUUUUGGUACCACACUCAAGUAGCCGUUCUUCAUGUAUGAGUCUGCAGAAUGGUGUCACUGAAUUGACAAUUGAGUGGAAUCACAGGAUCCUGCUUUCUUUGAAUGUUCAUAAAUACAUUAUUUCAUGGCAAUCAGGAGCAGGAACUCUGUUGCACUUUCCUCCUUAUAGCUUGGAUACCGAGGCCAACUGCUGAUUUAACAGAUCAGCUUGCCCAGUACGAACAAGGGAUCAAACUGGAGAUAUUUCUGGACUGUUUAGCUCACCUAUAUAUCCAGCUUUCAAGGCAUCUCUAAAAUUAAGUGUCUAAUCCUCUGUAUAUUUGAUUCAUUGGACAAACCAUUUUUUUUUCAUUGUGCCAAGUCUGGAUUAUAUUUCUAAUUUUACUUUUUAUGUAAAAAUUAGAGUUAAAUUAGGUACAGAAAUUGUAGAAUAUUGUUGCUUCAACCCUG